rnacentral:rRNA from 1 species
CCUACGGGAGGCAGCAGUGAGGAAUAUUGGUCAAUGGGAGGAAUCCUGAACCAGCCAUGCCGCGUGCAGGACGACGGCUCUACGAGUUGUAAACUGCUUUUGUACCGGGGUAAAAUGCCUUACGUGUAGGGGUUUGAAAGUACGGUACGAAUAAGGAUCGGCUAACUCCGUGCCAGCAGCCGCGGUAAUACGGAGGAUCCGAGCGUUAUCCGGAUUUAUUGGGUUUAAAGGGUGCGUAGGCGGUUUGAUAAGUUAGAGGUGAAAUGUCGGGGCUCAACCCCGAAACUGCCUCUAAUACUGUUGGACUAGAGAAUAGUUGCGGUAGGCGGAAUGUAUGGUGUAGCGGUGAAAUGCUUAGAGAUCAUACAGAACACCGAUUGCGAAGGCAGCUUACCAAACUAUAUCUGACGUUGAGGCACGAAAGCGUGGGUAGCAAACAGGAUUAGAUACCCCAGUAGUC